rnacentral:rRNA from 1 species
GAUGAACGCUGGCGGCGUGCCUAAUACAUGCAAGUCGAACGAGGUGCUUUUGUAGCAAUACGAGAGUAUCCUAGUGGCGAACGGGUGAGUAACGCGUUGGUGACCUGCCCCAAAGUGUGGGAUAACAGUCCGAAAGGAUUGCUAAUACCGCAUGUGGUCAUUGGGUUUAGAAACCGAUGACUAAAGCAGCAAUGCGCUUUGGGAGGGACCUGCGUCCCAUCAGCUAGUUGGUGAGGUAACGGCUCACCAAGGCGACGACGGGUAGGGGACCUGAGAGGGUGGCCCCCCACAAUGGAACUGAAACACGGUCCAUACACCUACGGGUGGCAGCAGUAGGGAAUAUUGCUCAAUGGGCGAAAGCCUGAAGCAGCAACGCCGCGUGCGCGAUGAAGGUCUUCGGAUCGUAAAGCGCUUUUCUGCGAGAUGAGAAAGGACAGUAUCGUAGGAAUAAGUCUCGGCUAACUACGUGCCAGCAGCCGCUGUAACAC